UGGCGGACGGGUGAGUAACGCUGGGGAACCUGCCCUGUACAGGGGGAUAACACUUAGAAAUAGGUGCUAAUACCGCAUAAGCGCACAGUAUCGCAUGAUACAGUGUGAAAAACUCCGGUGGUACAGGAUGGACCCGCGUCUGAUUAGCCAGUUGGUGGGGUAACGGCCCACCAAAGCGACGAUCAGUAGCCGGCCUGAGAGGGUGAACGGCCACAUUGGGACUGAGACACGGCCCAAACUCCUACGGGAGGCAGCAG
rnacentral:rRNA from 1 species